AGCAACUUGGCGCAGUGGAAGCGCGGUAAGUUUAAUCAUAAUCACCCGCACACCAGAUCGUUUACUAACGCUCACACAGCCGGGCUCAUAACCCGGAGGUCGCUCGAUCGAAACGAGUAGUUGCUA